rnacentral:rRNA from 1 species
GACGUAGGGCGCGAGCGUUGUCCGGAUUUAUUGGGCGUAAAGAGCUCGUAGGCGGCUUGUCGCGUCGUCCGUGAAAACCUGGGGCUCAACCCCAGGCUUGCGGUCGAUACGGGCAGGCUCGAGUUCGGUAGGGGAGACUGGAAUUCCUGGUGUAGCGGUGAAAUGCGCAGAUAUCAGGAGGAACACCGGUGGCGAAGGCGGCAUCCUGGACCAUUACUGACACUGAAAAGCGAAAGCCAGGGGAGCAAACGGG